UACGUAGGGUGCAAGCGUUGUCCGGAAUUAUUGGGCGUAAAGAGCGUGUAGGCGGCCCGAUUAGUCCGCUGUGAAAGUCCAGGGCUCAACCCUGGAAUGCCGGUGGAUACUGCAGGGCUAGAGUCCGGAAGAGGCGAGUGGAAUUCCUGGUGUAGCGGUGGAAUGCGCAGAUAUCAGGAGGAACACCAAUAGCGAAGGCAGCUCGCUGGGACGGUACUGACGCUAAGGCGCGAAAGCGUGGGGAGCGAACAGG
rnacentral:rRNA from 1 species